AGAAGGGAUCGGAAGAAACCCAAGGGAUGGGUUUGGUGGACGCCAGAGGGCACUCUUUGUGUUUGUGAUGAAAAUGGUGAAUUCUAUCAAGAGCAUCACGUGGUUGAUAAGAUGAGGUUUCGACGAGGUGGUAGAGAGAUCCUUCGCUACUGGGUUCCUCAAGAAUGCCGAUGCUCAGAUUAAAAUCAUAUUAUCGCCUCAAUUUGCAUUUCAUUUGCAGUUCAUGUCAUCUUAUCUGCAUUCAAAUAAUAAAUGUAUUUUGCAUACAUUUAAA